GGUUCAGUGGUCUAGUGGUAUGAUUCUCGCUUAGGGACUCACCCUGAGUAAUAUGCGAGAGGCCCCGGGUUCAAAUCCCGGCUGAACCC